CCAUGAAGCUGGAUUCGCUAGUAAUCGCGCAUCAGCCACGGCGCGGUGAAUACGUUCCCGGGCCUUGUACACACCGCCCGUCAAGCCAUGAAAGCCGGGGGUACCUGAAGUGCGUAACCGCGAGGAGCGCCCUAGGGUAAAACUGGUGAUUGGGGCUAAGUCGUAACAAGGUAGC
rnacentral:rRNA from 1 species